GAACCGUUGGGAGCAAACCGGGUUUGAAUACCCCUGGUAGUGCCACGCCGUAAACGAAGUCAACUAGCCGGGGGAAUCCUUGAGAUUUUUAGUGGGCGCAGCUAACGCAUUAAGUUGACCGCCUGGGGAGUACGGCCGCAAGGUUAAAACUUAAAUGAAUUGGCGGGGGCCCGCACAAGCGGUGGAGCAUGUGGUUUAAUUUGAAGCAACGCGAAGAACCUUACCCGGCCUUGACAUUCUGAGAACUUUCCAGAGAUGGAUUGGUGCGCUUCGGGAACUCAGACACAGGUGUGCAUGGCUGUUGUCAGCUCGUGUCGUGAGAUGUUGGGUUACCCGUAACGAGCGCAACCCUUGUCCUUAGUUACCAGCACGACCUCGGGUGGGCACUCUAAGGAGACUGCCGGUGACAAACCGGAGGAAGGUGGGGAUGACGUCAAGUCAUCAUGGCCCUUACGGCCAGGGUUACACACGUGUUACAAUGGUCGGUACAAAGGGUUGCCAAGCCGCGAGGUGGAGCUAAUCCCAUAAAACCGAUUGUAGUCCGGAUCGCAGUUUGCAAUUGGACUGCGGGAAGUCGGAAUCGUUAGUAAUCUGAAUCAGAAUGUCACGGUGAAUACGUUCCCCGGCCCUUGUCCACACCGCCCGUCACACCAUGGGAGUGGGUUCUCCAGAAGUAGCUAGUGUAACCGCAAGGGGGACGGUACCAACGGAAGGAUUCAAGG
rnacentral:rRNA from 1 species